rnacentral:rRNA from 1 species
UUGUCUCAAAGAUUAAGCCAUGCAUGUCUCAGUACAAGCCAAAUUAAGGUGAAACCGCGAAAGGCUCAUUAAAUCAGUUAUGGUUCCUUAGAUCGUACCAACAUUUACUUGGAUAACUGUGGUAAUUCUAGAGCUAAUACAUGCAAACAGAGCUCCGACCGGAGACGGAAGGAGCGCUUUUAUUAGAUCAAAACCAAUCGGCGGCGGGUUCGCGCCCGUCGUCGUUAUUAUUGACGAAUCUGAAUAACUUUCUGCUGAUCGCACGGUCUCGCACCGGCGACGCAUCUUUCAAAUGUCUGCCUUAUCAACUGUCGAUGGUAGGUUCUGUGCCUACCAUGGUUGUAACGGGUAACGGGGAAUCAGGGUUCGAUUCCGGAGAGGGAGCCUGAGAAACGGCUACCACAUCCAAGGAAGGCAGCAGGCGCGCAAAUUACCCACUCCCGGCACGGGGAGGUAGUGACGAAAAAUAACGAUACGGGACUCAUCCGAGGCCCCGUAAUCGGAAUGAGAACAAUUUAAAUCCUUUAACGAGGAUCAAUUGGAGGGCAAGUCUAGUGCCAGCAGCCGCGGUAAUUCCAGCUCCAAUAGCGUAUAUUAAAGUUGUUGCGGUUAAAAAGCUCGUAGUCGAAUCUGUGUCCCGCACCGCCGGUUCGUCGCUCGCGGCGUUUAACUGGCGUGUUCGCGGGACGUCCUGCCGGUGGGCUUAGCCCUUUCACCGAGGGCGGCCCAAUUAUAAUCCCGCCGUGGUGCUCUUCACCGAGUGUCGAGGCGGGCCGGCACGUUUACUUUGAACAAAUUAGAGUGCUUAAAGCAGGCUAAAAUUUUGCCUGAAUACUUCGUGCAUGGAAUAAUGGAAUAGGACCUCGGUUCUAUUUUGUUGGUUUUCGGAACCCCGAGGUAAUGAUUAAUAGGAACGGAUGGGGGCAUUCGUAUUGCGACGUUAGAGGUGAAAUUCUUGGAUCGUCGCAAGACGGACAGAAGCGAAAGCAUUUGCCAAAAACGUUUUCAUUGAUCAAGAACGAAAGUUAGAGGUUCGAAGGCGAUCAGAUACCGCCCUAGUUCUAACCAUAAACGAUGCCAGCUAGCGAUCCGCCGACGUUCCUUUUUAUGACUCGGCGGGCAGCUUCCGGGAAACCAAAGCUUUUGGGUUCCGGGGGAAGUAUGGUUGCAAAGCUGAAACUUAAAGGAAUUGACGGAAGGGCACCACCAGGAGUGGAGCCUGCGGCUUAAUUUGACUCAACACGGGAAACCUCACCAGGCCCGGACACCGGAAGGAUUGACAGAUUGAGAGCUCUUUCUUGAUUCGGUGGGUGGUGGUGCAUGGCCGUUCUUAGUUGGUGGAGCGAUUUGUCUGGUUAAUUCCGAUAACGAACGAGACUCUGGCCUGCUAACUAGGCGUAUUACCGACAUCUCGAAGGCCCGUCGGCUAGGUGCGUUCGCGCGCCUUGUCGCACGCGGUUUUUACUGUCGGCGUACAAACAAUUCUUCUUAGAGGGACAGGCGGCUUCUAGCCGCACGAGAUAGAGCAAUAACAGGUCUGUGAUGCCCUUAGAUGUUCUGGGCCGCACGCGCGCUACACUGAAGGAAUCAGCGUGUCCUCCCUGACCUAGCGGUCCGGGUAACCCGCUGAACCUCCUUCGUGCUAGGGAUUGGGGCUUGCAAUUGUUCCCCAUGAACGAGGAAUUCCCAGUAAGCGCGAGUCAUAAACUCGCGUUGAUUACGUCCCUGCCCUUUGUACACACCGCCCGUCGCUACUACCGAUUGAAUGAUUUAGUGAGGUCUUCGGACCGGCACGCGGUGGCGUUUCGACGUCGCCGAUGCUGCUGGAAAGAUGACCAAACUUGAUCAUUU